UACGUAGGGACCGAGCGUUGUCCGGAAUCAUUGGGCGUAAAGAGCGUGUAGGCGGCCUUUUAAGUCCUGCGUGAAAUCCUGCGGCUCAACCGCAGACGGUCGUGGGAAACUGGAAGGCUAGAGUGCGGGAGAGGAGAGUGGAAUUCCCGGUGUAGCGGUGAAAUGCGCAGAUAUCGGGAAGAACACCCGUGGCGAAGGCGGCUCUCUGGAACGCAAUUGACGCUGAGACGCGAAAGCGUGGGGAGCAAACAGG
rnacentral:rRNA from 1 species